rnacentral:rRNA from 1 species
UAAGGGCCCGCCACUGGCUUGGACGAGUUUGAUCCUGGCUAGGCUGUUAUCAGCUCCUCUAAGCGGGGAACGGGUGAGUAACACGUGAGCAACCUGCCCUAGGCUUUGGGAUAACCCCGGGAAACCGGGGCUAAUACCGAAUAUGACCUCCGAUCGCAUGGUUGGUGGUGGAAAGUUUUUCGGCCUGGGAUGGGCUCGCGGCCUAUCAGCUUGUUGGUGGGGUGAUGGCCUACCAAGGCGACGACGGGUAGCCGGCUUAAGCACGGCACUACCUGGCACGUGAGACACUUCCCAGAAUCAUUACGGGAGGCAGGCAGUGGGGAAUAUUGCACCACUGGUCGGAAGACUGAUGCAGCGACGCCGCGUGAGGGAUGACUGACUUCCGGUUGUAAGACUCUUUCAGCAGGGACGAAGCGUAAGUGACGGUACCUGCAGAAGAAGCGACGGCCAACUACGUGCCAGCAGCCGCGGUAAGACGUAGGGCGGCGAGCGUUGUCCGGAUUUAUUGGGCGUAAAGAGCUCGUAGGGCGGCUUGUCGCGUCGACUGUGAAAACCGGCAGCUCAACUGCGGGCCUGCAGUCGAUACGGGCAGGCUAGAGUUCGGUAGGGGAGACUGGAAUUCCUGGUGUAGCGGUGAAAUGCGCAGAUAUCAGGAGGAACACCGGUGGCGAAGGCGGGUCUCUGGGCCGAUACUGACGCUGAGGAGCGAAAGCGUGGGGAGCGAACAGGAUUAGAUACCAUCGGUAGUCCACGCUGUAAACGUUGGGCGCUAGGUGUCGGGGGGCCUCUCCAGGUUCCCUGUGCCGCAGCUAACGCAUUAAGCGCCCCGCCUGGGGAGUACGGCCGCAAGGCUAAAACUCAAAGGAAUUGACUGGGGCCCGCACAAGCGGCAGGAGCAUGCGGAUUAAUUCGAUGCAACGCGAAGAACCUUACCUGGGUUUGACAUGGCCGCAAAACCGGCAGAGAUGUCGGGUCCUUACGGGGGCGGUCACAGGUCGGUGCAUGGCUGUCGUCAGCUCGGGUCGGUGAGAAUGUUGGGGUUAAGUCCCGCAACGAGCGGCAACUCCCUCGUUCGAUGUGUGCCAGCAGCGUUAUAGGCGGGCGACUCAUCGAAGUACUGCCCGGGGUCCAAACUCGGACGCAAGGGGGGGAGCAUGGGACGAUCACGUCACUCAUGCCCGUUAAUGUGCAGGGGUUCCCGCACGCGACAGUGGCCGGUACAAUGGGCUGCGAUACCGUGAGGUGGAGCGAAUCCCAAAAAGCCGGUCUCAGUUCGGAUCGGGGUCUGCAACUCGACCCCGUGAAGUCGGAGUCGCUAGUAAUCGCAGAUCAGCAACGCUGCGGUGAAUACGUUCCCGGGCCUUGUACACACCGCCCGUCACGUCACGAAAGUCGGCAACACCCGAAGCCGGUGGCCCAUCCCGUAAGGGAGGCAGAGUUGAUCCUGGCUCAGGCUGGAUCACCUCCUAAGCUGUUCCGGCAUC